CCUACGGGUGGCUGCAGUGGGGAAUAUUGGGCAAUGGGCGCAAGCCUGACCCAGCAACGCCGCGUGAAGGAAGAAGGCUCUCGGGUUGUAAACUUCUUUUGUCAGGGACGAAGCAAGUGACGGUACCUGACGAAUAAGCCACGGCUAACUACGUGCCAGCAGCCGCGGUAAUACGUAGGAGGCGAGCGUUAUCCGGAUUUAUUGGGUGUAAAGGGUGCGUAGGCGGGAUGCAAAGUCAGCGGUAAAAUUGCGGUGCUCAACGCCGUCGAGCCGUUGAAACUGGCGUUCUUGAGUGGGCUAGAGGUAUGCGGAAUGCGUGGUGUAGCGGUGAAAUGCGUAGAUAUCACGCAGAACUCCGAUUGCGAAGGCAGCCUACCGGCGCCCUACUGACGCUGAGGCACGAAAGCGUGGGUAUCGAACAGGAUUAGAUACCCUGGUAGUC
rnacentral:rRNA from 1 species